UACGUAGGUGGCAAGCGUUGUCCGGAAUCAUUGGGCGUAAAGAGUGUGUAGGCGGUCCGGUAAGUCGGCUGUGAAAGUCCAAGGCUCAACCUUGGGAUGCCGGUCGAUACUGCCGGACUAGAGUUCGGAAGAGGCGAGUGGAAUUCCCGGUGUAGCGGUGAAAUGCGCAGAUAUCGGGAGGAACACCUAUGGCGAAGGCAGCUCGCUGGGACGUUACUGACGCUGAGACGCGAAAGCGUGGGGAGCAAACAGG
rnacentral:rRNA from 1 species